UGCCAAAUCUUGGACUUGUAAGGGAAUUCGGCUUUACACGAUGUUGGCUUUGUGUUUAUUCACUAAUGACUUCUUGUAUAUUUGUAAAUUGCAAGAAGUUUUCGUUCGAGGAAAGGAAUAUUCUGUCAAACACAGUGACAAUAAAAAAUAUGUGACACGUGUACUAGCGAUAAGCCAAAAUGAACCGUUCUUGAGCAAAUUCAAGUCAAAUAUAGAAGGUGGUGCACGGAAGGAAAUCGAGGGGUACUUGACCCUUGAGCAUGACAGAUUGAUGUCUUAUUCGCAGGUGUCCAAAACAGUCAUUGAACAUGCAGAUGAUUUUAUUUUUGCGGACAAAUCUAUUUGUUCGGAUAUCAAUGGGGACUCAGGCAUACGUGUAUGAGUACUGAACUGGGCGAAUGAGCAAGAAGACUUCUUCGAUAAGGGAUAUGGAUUCAUUGCAUAAAGGAUACCGAUUCAUUUUAUCCUCGUAGAUUCAACGAGAAAACCAUGUAUUGGUGCCUUGAAAAUUAAUUGGAUAUUUCUUUCAAUGUCGAAUUCUAUCCAAGACUUCAGACAUCAUUUCCUCGACCCAUGAACAAAUACUCAUCCGCAAUUUUGGAAGGUAAAACUGAGGGAUUCCUCUAAAGGCACCAUCAGUACUAUCUCACCUUCAGCAUUCCAACCAAAAAAAAAGAACAGCAUUGUCUUCACUAAUCCCUCCCAGCGACACAUCUCCACUAAAUUUUCGAAUUCGAAAGACAGAUGAACAACGUCAUUGCCCAUUGGACUCCAGUCAUGUUGGAGAUAAUAAUACCUCACUAUCACAGGAAAAAUGGACAGAAACACUGGGGACUAUCAUAGUAACACUCUCAGGCACCCCCGACGGGAGCAUCAAUUCCAAACAACGGCCGAGCCUCGAUCAGUUUUCUCCAUACGACGAUCAAGACGAUUUCUCAGAAGAAAAGAAUUCUUCGUUGAUCACAGCUUCAAAUUUAAAGAUGCUUGAAAUGAUUAUUAAGGAUUGUCAAUCCCGAGUAUCUGAUGAGGGCGCAUUUGCGUCUGCCUGGUAGAUUUUUCAUUGAACCUUUAUCAAGAACCUCUCCGAUGUAUAUACCCCUGAUCACUACCAUGUUUUCAAUGCUGCUGUGCAGGUCAUCGCAGGGUAUAAUCCAGAGCAAAGGACAUACAGGAGUUCAGCAGCAGGCUCCUAUCUUAGAAAACUACUGACGAAAGUUGGCGGAAUCCAUCGAUCUGAAUGUAUAGAAAGAGGCAUGCACAAGGAACAGAAAAAGACUGAAGAGUUUUUGAAAUUAUUAUCGGAUGAUUUUAGCACUCAAAACAAGAAGGUAGU